CAAUUGCACAGUAUUGUGCAAUAGAUUUUGUUAGAUCUUUGACCACAUUAAUUGCUGACAAAAAACCUAUAUUAUGUCAAAAUUGAUCACAAUCCAAAUUCAGACAGAAUCAAGCUUAAUAUUGUGACCAAAUUUGCACCAACUGUUCAGGGUUCAACCACUGGGGUCGUAUAAAGCUGCGCCCUGCGGAGCACCUGGUUUGAUUAUGGGCCAAGUUUUCAAUAUAACAAUAUCAAUGACAAUUCAUGUCAGCACAAAAGUGCUGACUACUUGGCUUGUGAUACCCUCGGAGAAAUAAAUCUCCACCAGCAGUGGCAUCGACCCAGUGGUUGUAAAUAAACUCAUCAUAGAAACCAGGAUUAAAAUUAGUAUAUACGCCAGACGCGCAUUUCAUCUACAAAAGACUCAUCAGUGACGCUCGAAUCCAAAAAAGUUAAAAAGGCCAAAUAAAGUACGAAGUUGACGAGCAUUGAGAACAAAAGUUUUGCCAAAUACAGCUAAGGUAAUCUAUGCCUGAGGUAAAAAAGCCUUAGUAUUUCAAAAAAUUUAAAAAACAAAAUAUUUUCCUCUGUAUCUAAAGGGCCAAGUUUAUUAUAGAUAGAGAAAAUUGUAAGUAGCAAAUAUGUUCAGUAUAGUAAGAUCUACAAACACAUCAACAUCACCAAAACACAAUUUUGUCAUGAAUCCAUCUGUGUCCUUUGUUUAAUAUGCACAUAGACCAAGGUGAGUGACACAGGCUCUUUAGAGCCUCUAGUUUAUUUGUUUCAUUAAAUGUUAGCAC
rnacentral:lncRNA from 1 species